AAUCCAGAGCAAAAGGUCCUAAUAUACUGCACUUAAAACAUUUUUUCUUAGCUGGCAAUAGUGAUGCCAUGUUACGAGCCUUAAAGACAGUUGAGGUCAUUAAGGUCCCUGAAAAUGGCUACAAUA
ensembl:snoRNA